UAGCUCAGUUGGUAGAGCGCCUGACUGUUAAUCAGGAGGUCAUCGGUUCGAAGCCGGUCACGUCAGUAA
rnacentral:tRNA from 1 species